GGAGAACAAGAAGUCUGUGCCUGAUCUUAUGGAGAGGAAAACUAUCUUGCUUUGCCUUAUGGUGCUUUUGCUGCUAGGAAAUUCCACUCGCGCUGAGCAUUGCCAAACACACAGUGAACGGGCCAUUCUGUGCAUAACAAUAAAAUGCCGACUUUGGUGCCAGCAUGUGUGGAACCACGUCAAGGAAGCCUACUGCACCGGCGAGCCUAUUUUUGACAGUCACUGCGUUUGCGUCGUUUGUGACUGAGUCGCACUCCAGCAUCAUGUCAAAUAAUGGACAUUGAUUUCCAGUAAUAAAAUCUCGUGCGACAUGCAUGCAAUUUGGA